GAUUUUUGUUUGUUUUUAUUUCAUUUACAGUUGUGAGGGACGAUUAUGACCGUUGAGUUUCUAUGAAUCUUGAAUUUGAGCCCUUCCUUUGCAAUCUGGGCUUAAAUCUGUGAAUUCCCACAUCGUUAUUGUGAGUCUUAAGUGCGGAAACCCCUUCCACAAGUAAAAGAGGUUGCGUCUUGAAAAGAAUUAAGAAAUUUGAGAUUUAAAAGCUCUCAAAAGUUGAACUUUUUAGUUUUCUUAAGGUUAUUUCGAUUUGCUCGAAAACCUAGUCUAAAUUCUAGUUCUUUAUUUUAUUUUGUUAUUGGGCUUGUGUUUGGAGAGGGAGUCCCUUUCAAAUCCCCAUUUGGUCUUGGCCGUGCCCAAAAAAGGCCCAAGUAGGAAUACUACUUCAAAAAAUAGAGUCCGGAAGACGAAGAAGAUAGCGAGGCGCGCAGAAAGCCCAGCCAUCGGUGAAACUGGCCAACUAGGGGCUUGGUACGCCCCUAGUCUAACCUAGUCUCUUUAUAUUUUGUUCAAAGGCUUGUUUUUCAUUUUGAUGUGGUUGUACAAAUGUACUCAAACUCAUGUUAUAGUGGAAAUCCUUAUGAUUGGAA